GUGACAGAGCUAGACUUCAUCCCAAAUAUAUAUUAAAAAAAAAAAAAAUUACUGUUUCCUUAUCUGUGAAUGCUUCCAACUAGAAGGAGGAGAAAGAAGAAGUUUGACCGUAUUUCUCAGCAGAAAGAGAAGGGGUCUAGUGUGACAUCAAAAUGAAAGAGUGCUGGAGCUUGAGCCCCUUUUCAUUUUCCAGGAUCCCCACAGUGAUCAGCUGCCAGAACCCUGGUUUAUUCAUGGAAACCACACUUAAACUUUUAUCAGCAGCUACUGUGUACUGGGCUCCCUUCUAGGUUCAAAUCACUCUAUUUGAGUAAGAUAGAGUGGGUUGGUCCCUACUCAUGGAAGUUACACAAUCAUAGAGGAGAUAGACACUAACCCAAUAAUCAUUUAACAAAGAAGAAAAUUUCAGAGAGUUAUUGUGUACAGAAGAAAAGACAUCAGGUCUGUGGAAAGAGAGAAUUGGAUUCACUCAACUUUGGUUCACAUGCUUAGGCAGCUCUACCUGAGAAAGUGACAUUCAGCUGAGACAACAAAAUAAGUAAACAGCCAUGUGCAGAUCUAAGGGUCGAAUGUUCCAGAGAGACACAAUGGGGGGAAAACCCUGGUGUGAGAAAUUAUGUGCAGGGACACAAAGAAGGCUAAAGGGGCUGAUGUAUAGGAAGCAAGGAAAUUGAGUGGGAGAAGAUGACGUAGGAAGCAGAGAGGAAGUCAGGAGCCUCAUCAUAUUAAGCCCUGAUGUUGAUAGUAAGAAAUUUUAAUUUUAUUUAAACAGAUAUGGGAAGCCACUGGAUGGUUACAAGGAGAGUCAAUUUAUAUUCAAUUUUUAAAACUAAUUCUAGCUACACUGGCAGGGAUUGGAUUGCUGGGAUUCACAAGUGGUCAGGAAGCUACUUAGGAUCACAGCAGGGAAUCCUUAGGGAAAAUUGCUCAAGGCUUCCUGGUAUGCAUUAGUGAUAAAGACAGUGAAAACCCUAAGUGGACAGACUCGGCAUGUAUUUUGCUCAGCCUGUUAAUGGAUUACUGUAAAGGGGAUAGAACAAUCAAACUUAUUCCUAAGUAUUUUGUCUUGACGAAUAAGUGGAUGGUGGUGUUGUUUAUUGAGAUAUGAAAAAUUGUGGGAGGAAAUUAUUUGAAGUGGGUGGUUAGAAAUGAUUUAUUGAUAUUUAUGUGGAACAAUCAGAAGGUCAAUGGAAUUUAAGAGACUCAUGGUGAGUCCAGGGCUGGAAGUAUUUAUGUUGACGGCAUCAAUACAUGUACUCUGUUAAAUUCCAGGGAGUGGAAGAGGAUACAUGGGGUAAUAGCUUCUGUGUAGAAAAAAGAAGGCUGCACAGGCCAGCGAGGGGACUGAGAGGGAGUCCCAAGGAUGUUUGAGAAAAACCAAGAGAAUAUAAUGCGUGAAAACACUCGGACCCCAACAUCUGGCGCAGCGAGCAGGGUCCGUGGCUCCAUGAGAGCAAGGAAACGGAGGGGGAACACCCUGGGCAGGCGCGGGAAGACCGUGGGCAGGUGCCAGAGAUGAGUGGUUUCCAUCUCGACAGUUGAAACAGUGCCAUGGAGAAGAGGAGCCAAUCCGAAGAGUUCCUCAAGGAAUUUCAGGAGCUGAAUCUGAGCGCUCAGAGAACAUUCACCUUCAGGACUGGGCGUGCGGAGCCCCCGAUACGAGGUCAACUGAAAAAGCUUACUCAGAAAGCUGAAGGGGUUGUUCAACAAGCUGGGCAGCCCAAAACCCCACUGACUUUAUUCGUGGCUGUGCUGACCAUAGUAAAUUGUCAGGUAACGGCUGGAGAAUUUACAUACUGAGCUUAUAUUCCUUUUCCACCCUUAUAUCAAGGUGUGGCCUGGGCAGACAAAGAAGUCCCAGUAUUUACUAAUGAUACUGCUUGGAUGCCAUCGCCUUUUUUAAACCAGGAUCCUGCAUUAGACACUGGCACAGUAAAUAGUUCAUAUCAAUUUGGGGUUGAAGGGUUACCUAUAUGUAUUGGGAGUAGUCCACAUUGUCUGCAUCCUUCUCAUGAGGCUUGGGCUGUUCGUUAUAAUUAUAGUCACAUUGCUGCCUUUACUAUGAUUAUUGUUGCUCAAAGUUUUAAGUAUAAUCAUACUGCAUUAUUAAAAGAAACUCUGCCCACUACAUUAUCUUUAUGCCCUAUCCCUGAUGUGUCCAGACGUGUUUCCCAAUUAAAGUGGACUAGGUGUAGAGGUAGUGGGCCGUGAUUAUUAUUAGAAGUAAAAGGAAAAGGUCGUAAUUACCUCAUCACAGAUUGGAGUGUACAUGGAGAUUUUCAAACCAAAUUUAGUCAUGUCAACCUACGUUGGCAUAAAGGUAAUCACAGCAUUGCUGUGGAUGGCAAUGAAACUAUUAUUUGGCAUGAUGGUGGUCUAUCACCCCCUAUGCCACAUUUGGCUAAUACUUCACAAAUACAAAGUCAUAUUUGGAAGUUGCUAGCUGCUGGUAAACCAAUGUUCACUCUCACAGGAAACAUGUCCUUAAAUCUUACUAAUAUUGCUAACCCUUUCCAUAUAUCUUUGCAUUGAAAUAGUUCUAGAUAUGUUAUUGCAUGUGUAAGAAAGCCUUACUUCUUGUUGACAGGAAUUUUUAAAUGGGAUAAUAAUACAGGGGUAGUUAACUGUACAAACAAUUGUACAUUCUUAAGUUGUAUAAAUACUACUUGGUGGAAUAAUAAUUGGAAUGUGUCUCAUUCCGAUUUAUAUAUACUAAGAGCCAGAAAAGAAACCUGGCUACCUGUAAACUUAACACGUACUUGGAGUGAAUCUGCUGGGGUUACUCAAAUUUACAAGGCUAUGCAAGAUCUUGUCCACCGCAGUUGGAGGAUGGUUGGAAUCAUCGUGACCGCGGUGAUAGGGCUUGUAGCAAUUGCUUCCACCGCUGCUGUUGCUGGACUAGCUCUACACCAGAAUAUACAAAAUGCAGAAUUUGUGCAACAGUGGCAUGAGCAAUCACAUUUGUUGUGGCAGCAGCAACGAGACAUAGAUUCUCAUUUGACUGAGCGAGUGGAUAAUCUGGAACUAGCAGUUUCUUGGUUGGGAGAUCAGCUAACAGUGUUGAAUACACGAGCUUUGUUGAAAUGUGAUUGGAAUACUACCCAAUUUUGUAUUACUCCUGUUCCUUUUAACAGCACUGUACAUAAUUGGACUGAGAUAAAGAGACUUUUAAUUGGUCAUAAUAACCUUUCCCGAGAAAUACAAGAAUUAACACAGAACAUUUCUGAAGCGUUUAGCAAUCAGUUACCAUUGCUGACUGGUGCAGAUCUGAUGACUGGUAUUGCACAAAGUUUGACGUCUUUGAACCCUAUGAGCCCUGUAAAAACCUUACUGACCUCUAUUUCUAGCAAUGUAUUGAUUGUUGUUCUUGCUUUUGUCAUUUUCACAGUCUGCUGGAGAUGGUGCCAAAAGGCAAACACCGAAUCCCAGUGAGCUCAACAUGUAAUGAUGGUUUUGAAAGAAAUUCAAACUUGUAAAUAAGGAAAGGGGAAAUGUAGAGGACUAUCUGCUUUUACAACUGAGCAGGCCAUUCCUCCAUUAACAUUAUAGUCCCGCUCUCGCAAAAGA